GUGGGGAUCUGCCCGAUAGAGGGGGAUAACCACUGGAAACGGUGGCUAAUACCGCAUAACGUCGCAAGACCAAAGAGGGGGACCUUCGGGCCUCUCACUAUCGGAUGAACCCAGAUGGGAUUAGCUAGUAGGCGGGGUAAUGGCCCACCUAGGCGACGAUCCCUAGCUGGUCUGAGAGGAUGACCAGCCACACUGGAACUGAGACACGGUCCAGACUCCUACGGGAGGCAGCAGCGGGGAAUAUUGCACAAUGGGCGCAAGCCUGAUGCAGCCAUGCCGCGUGUAUGAAGAAGGCCUUCGGGUUGUAAAGUACUUUCAGCGGGGAGGAAGGCGACGGGGUUAAUAACUCUGUCGAUUGACGUUACCCGCAG
rnacentral:rRNA from 1 species